CCAAGGGCUAUGGGGAUUCAAACUUGGGCCCUCAUUCCUGAUUCCUAUUGAUGAAGUGGAAAUUUGGACGGAUGAGAAGGGAACUCCUUGUCUUUUUUCUCCUGCUGCAACUUUGUAUUGCCAGAAGAUGUCAGAUCAUGUUGCUCUGCCUCAGAAGUUCUCAGGAGAAGAAUUUCUUGACUGAUGCUCAAACACAAGUUGCCUGAAUGAAAUGAAGAGGACAGUGCCAACACCCACGAACCAAGUGCAUUUGAUCAAGGCCAUUCUAUUGUCCAGG
rnacentral:lncRNA from 1 species